CACGUAGGGGCCAAGCGUUGUCCGGAUUUAUUGGGCGUACAGAGCUCGUAGGCGGCUCGGUAAGUCAGGUGUGAAACCUCCAGGCUCAACCUGGAGACGCCACCUGAUACUGCUGUGGCUAGAGUCCGGUAGGGGAGCGUGGAAUUCCUGGUGUAGCGGUGAAAUGCGCAGAUAUCAGGAGGAACACCAGCGGCGAAGGCGGCGCUCUGGGCCGGAACUGACGCUGAGGAGCGAAAGCGUGGGUAGCAAACAGG
rnacentral:rRNA from 1 species